ACUUCGACAGCCUGGUGGAGGUGGCAACACAAAUAUGUCCAGCCUAAGAAAGUUGGUAUGGCUCCAUUCUUCCAGCUGCUUGUUGGAUCAAUGACUUUCUUCUAUGUUAUCAACUACGGAAAGAUGAGUAAGUAUGGACAUGAAUUAAGU
rfam:Papilio machaon contig66692, whole genome shotgun sequence.